CUUUGGGAUGUCAAAUGUACUGUGCAAGGCGGUGGUCUCUCAGGUCAAGUUGGAGCCAUACAGUUGGGUAUCAGUAGAGCCUUGCAAAACUGCGAGCCUGGCCUACGUCCAUACGUUAAAACUGAGGGUUUCUUGACGAGGGACUCGCGUGUAGUUGAAAGGAAGAAACCAGGAAAGGCAAAGGCAAGAAAGAGCUUCCAAUGGGUUAAGCGGUGACGGCACCUCCACCACCCAACAUAUUUUUUUGAUACUCUAGUUUUGUAUGAAUGAUUCAGUAGUAGUUUUGCUGCAAUAAGUAAAGAUGUCAUUCAUUCACUCUCCUGUGCAAUUCACUUGCCUUAAUCAGAGCUGUGAAUUCCAGGAGCACACAAUUCCAUAUGUUUUUUUGUUAAAUAGGAUGAAUCAUAUCCAUGCUGGGGAUUGGUUAAAGUUUUGUCUCAGCUGUAUUUUUUUCAAUUAUUACAACUUCUGUGUACAUGUGUUAUUUAAUCAAAACUAAUGACUCGAGUACAAAAUCAUAACUACAGCCAAGUUACCUAUAUUUUGAAAACUGACCGUCAAAAAUCGACUAAUUUUCAAUCAUUAAAAUUAAGAUCGGUAGAUAGUGAAAUUUGGUACAUCAGAAUGAGCUCAUUUUUUAUGGACAUGUAGAGCUUUCUUCUAUGGUUGCUAGAUCUGUGGUAAGAUCGUGGUUUUCUUUCAUUUUUUUAUCUAUAUUCUAUGGAUUUGAGGAGUCUUGGUUUAGUUGUUGGUUGCUGCUGUAUCUCUCGGAAUUGGCUCUGGUGAGGAUGGAUUUGCAUUUGCGGUGGGUUUUGUCUGUCUACAUCAAUCGUUUUCUCUAUCACAAUUUACAGGUAUCUAUAUGUGUGAAAUCUUAGGGUUUUCUAUUUAGGGCAAUUGAUUAAUUUCUAUUUACUUUUGAAUAUAAGUAUUAAGGGUUUUCUUUAGGGUGAAUUUCUAAUUCCUGAAAUUGCAAUAACAGAAGAUUAUUAGCUUGCACCUCCGUUUUGUUUUCAAAUCAAUUUCUAUAACCCAUGUCUGUUAUUUUUCCUCGUGUUCAUCCUUUGGAUUGGUAAUAAUUUGUUUUUCAAUUAACCCCCUCUACAUCCCCAUGAGGCCAUGAUCCUAUUUUCUAGAUUCCCUGUAAGGCAGUUUAAUUCAUCUUUCCUCCAGAUUUCCCUUGUCAGCUCUUCAUUGCUGGUUCUUUGGUUUUGUUGUUGGCUUUGUUAACCAGGCCCCCCUGAGCUUUGUUAGAAAUUAAAACAAUUAAAACAUAAAAUUAGUUAAUGUUGUUAACCAGGUCCCUCAAAGAUUUGUUAGAAGUAAAAAUGAUGUUGGUUUAGUUAACCAGGUUCCUUAGAACUUUGUUAGUAGUUUGAAUGCCUUGUGUUUUACUCGGGAGGAUGGAUGGAGAUGUCUUGUUUUGAGGAUCAGGUUAUAGUCUUGUUGGUUCCGAUCAGUUCUGUCUUAUGAGUGUUUUGGGGUUUUAAACAUAGCAUCUUUUUUGGACGACUUUUGUUACUUCUUUGUGAUCCUUCUUCGAUCUGUCUUGUUUUCGUUAUCGCAAAGGCUGGGUUGUAUGUAUUUUGUUUUGGAUUCAUGGAUACAAUAUGUAUUUCUUUGGCUUCUAGAAAUUUAAUUUUUAAGGUUAUCAUGUCAUUUGCCCGAGCAACCUUCAGAAACAAUAAUAACUAGACUUGUCAGCGCCUCUUCCGCAUUGUGAUUAUUCCGUCAGUUUGAAGACCCUGUGUCAGACCUGUUCUAACAAAUGCAGCCUAUAUGUACCAAGUGAUUAUCAACAGCAACAACAACAGCAGCAACAACAGCAACAAUGCAACUCCUGCACCAAAUAAACCACGAUCAUGUUAAUUACAGAAAACUCAGCUUCUAUUACCACAGUCGAGCACUAUACCUAUAGGCGAUCCUUUUUGGACCGGUAGAUUCUCAACCUUGCAUUUCUUCAGGUCUCUUAGUUUAAUUUGCAUUAUUAUUUAUUCAGUAGUGUAAGCCUUUGUCUUUUGCUUUUCUCGGUGUUUUAUGUUUUAGAACCUUAGUCCUGCAUUAUAUCCAUAUAAGGUGCAACACAACCUAAAUCCGUCUCGGGGUAACAUAUACAUCAAAUUGUAAUUUUUGGCAUUCACAACUGUAACUUGUAAGUGCUAGUUUAUAAAUCACAUUUGUAGUUCUAUUCUCUGCCCUUAAA